ACGCUGGCGGUAUGCUUAACACAUGCAAGUCGAACGGAAACGAAACUAGCUUGCUAGUAGGCGUCGAGUGGCGGACGGGUGAGUAACGCGUAGGAAUCUGCCUGAUAGUGGGGGAUAGCCCGAAGAAAUUCGGAUUAAUACCGCAUAAUCUAUUCGUAGUAAAGUGGGGGACUUUCGAGCCUCACGCUAUCAGAUGAGCCUGCGUAAGAUUAGCUUGUUGGUAGGGUAAAAGCCUACCAAGGCAACGAUCUUUAGCUGGUCUGAGAGGAUGAUCAGCCACAUCGGGACUGAGACACGGCCCGAACUCCUACGGGAGGCAGCAGUGGGGAAUAUUGGACAAUGGGGGCAACCCUGAUCCAGCAAUACCGCGUGUGUGAAGAAGGCCUGAGGGUUGUAAAGCACUUUCAAUUGUGAAGAAAAGUUAACGGUUAAUAACCGUUGACCUUGACGUUAACUUUAGAAGAAGCACCGGCUAACUCCGUGCCAGCAGCCGCGGUAAUACGGAGGGUGCAAGCGUUAAUCGGAAUUACUGGGCGUAAAGCGUGCGUAGGCGGUUUAUUAAGUCAGAUGUGAAAGCCCCGGGCUUAACCUGGGAACUGCAUUUGAAACUGGUCAACUAGAGUAUGGUAGAGGAAAGUGGAAUUUCUGGUGUAGCGGUGAAAUGCGUAGAUAUCAGAAGGAACAUCAAUGGCGAAGGCAGCUUUCUGGACCAAUACUGACGCUGAGGUACGAAAGCGUGGGUAGCAAACAGGAUUAGAUACCCUGGUAGUCCACGCCGUAAACGAUGAUAACUAGCCGUUGGGGGGAUUUACCCCUUAGUGGCGAAGCUAACGCGUUAAGUUAUCCGCCUGGGGAGUACGGCCGCAAGCUAAACUCAAAUGGAAUGCG
rnacentral:rRNA from 1 species